GAUGAACGCUGGCGGCGUGCCUAAUACAUGCAAGUCGAGCGAACCACUUCGGUGGUGAGCGGCGAACGGGUGAGUAACACGUAGGUGAUCUGCCCAUCAGACGGGGACAACGAUUGGAAACGAUCGCUAAUACCGGAUAGGACGAAAGUUUAAAGGUGCUUCUGGCACCGCUGAUGGAUGAGCCUGCGGCGCAUUAGCUAGUUGGUAGGGUAAAGGCCUACCAAGGCGACGAUGCGUAGCCGACCUGAGAGGGUGAACGGCCACACUGGGAUUGAGACACGGCCCAGACUCCUACGGGAGGCAGCAGUAGGGAAGCUUCGGCAAUGGGCGAAAGCCUGACCGAGCAACGCCGCGUGAAUGAUGAAGGCCUUCGGGUUGUAAAAUUCUGUUAUAAGGGAAGAACGACUUUAGUAGGAAAUGGCUAGAGUGUGACGGUACCUUAUGAGAAAGCCACGGCUAACUACGUGCCAGCAGCCGCCGUAAGAC
rnacentral:rRNA from 1 species